rnacentral:snoRNA from 13 species
GUUGGGAUGAUGACUGGAAGUGUCGGAUACCCCUUCACUCCUGCAUGAGUGACAGUCUGCAGUCUGACGAAC